GACGAACGCUGGCGGCGUGCUUAACACAUGCGAGUCGAACGAAGAGCGAUGGAAGCUUGCUUCUAUCAAUCUUAGUGGCGAACGGGUGAGUAACGCGUAAUCAACCUGCCCUUCAGAGGGGGACAACAGUUGGAAACGACUGCUAAUACCGCAUACGAUCUAAUCUCGGCAUCGAGGAUAGAUGAAAGGUGGCCUCUACAUGUAAGCUAUCACUGAAGGAGGGGAUUGCGGCUGAUUAGCUAGUUGGAGGGGUAACGGCCCACCAAGGCGAUGAUCAGUAGCCGGUCUGAGAGGAUGAACGGCCACAUUGGGACUGAGACACGGCCCAGACUCCUACGGGAGGCAGCAGUGGGGAAUCUUCCGCAAUGGACGAAAGUCUGACGGAGCAACGCCGCGUGAGUGAUGACGGCCUUCGGGUUGUAAAGCUCUGUUAAUCGGGACGAAAGGCCUUCUUGCGAAUAGUGAGAAGGAUUGACGGUACCGGAAUAGAAAGCCACGGCUAACUACGUG
rnacentral:rRNA from 1 species